rnacentral:rRNA from 1 species
UGAGGAAUCUUGCGCAAUGGGGGAAACCCUGACGCAGCAACGCCGCGUGAGUGAGGAAGGCCUUCGGGUCGUAAAGCUCUGUCAGAUGGGAAGAAAUGGGUGGGGGCUAAUAUCGUCCAUCCUUGACGGUACCAUCAGAGGAAGCACCGGCUAACUCCAUGCCAGCAGCCGCGGUAAUACGGGGGGUGCAAGCGUUGUUCGGAAUCAUUGGGCGUAAAGCGCGCGCAGGCGGCUUGGUAAGUCAGAUGUGAAAUCCCGGGGCUUAACCCAGGAAGUGCAUUUGAUACUGCCGCGCUAGAGUACGGGAGAGGAAAGUGGAAUUCCUGGUGUAGAGGUGAAAUUCGUAGAUAUCAGGAGGAACACCGGUGGCGAAGGCGACUUUCUGGCCCGAUACUGACGCUCAGGCGCGAAAGCGUGGGGAGCAAACA